UAAGAUGUUUUUAAUGUUUUUGAAGGAAGUCACUUCUGCUUACCAAGGCUGCAUUCAUUUCAUCAAAAAUGCAGUAA